rnacentral:rRNA from 1 species
UACGGGGGGGGCAAGCGUUGUUCGGAAUUACUGGGCGUAAAGGGCUCGUAGGCGGCCAACUAAGUCAUACGUGAAAUCCCUCAGCUUAACUGGGGAACUGCGUGUGAUACUGGAUGGCUUGGAUUUGGGAGAGGGAUGCGGAAUUCCAGGUGUAGCGGUGAAAUGCGUAGAUAUCAGGAGGAACACCGGUGGCGAAGGCGGUUCUCUGGGCAUUACCUGACGCUGAGGAGCGAAAGUGUGGGGAGCGAACAGG